AGUAUAAUUGCUGGUUUGUAUGUUGAGUUCAUUUUUAGUUUUGAAAGAAACUGUCAAACUAUUUUCCAGAGCGGCUGUACCAUUUUAUAUUCCCACCAGCAAU
rnacentral:pre_miRNA from 1 species